GGCCCGGCGGCGGCUGCGGCUGCGGUACCGGCCGCGGGCGGGCGGGGAGGGGGCGCGGGCCGGGCCCGAGUCUCUUUCUUUAAAGUGUUGAGUGCGGGCGAGCGGCGAUUGCGAAACUCUCCGCGCGCUGCUCCCGCCCCCUCUUCGCCCGCCCGCCAAUGGGCGGCGACGCUCCCGCAGGGGCAUGAUGCAAUGCCCGCCCGGAUUGGCAGCGGGCGCGGCCAAUCAGGCGUCCGUCAACACGCUUAAAGGGCGAGGCCGUGUUUUCUGYGGGAGGCCGCGCGCCCCGCGGGGGUGGGCAUGGCGGUGGCGGCCCGGCCCCGCGGGGAAGGCCCUGGCACUCCUCCCCGUCUCACCCCACCCCGGGGCGGGGGAGAAGCCGCGUGCCGCGGCGGGGCCGCGAGGCUGCCGAGAGCCGGGGGAGGCGGCGGGUGGGAGCGGGGCGCGGGCCGCUGGGAGGCCUCCGCUCCCCUCGGGCUGGCGGGCGGCAGCGAGAUGCCGCUGUCCCGGGCCCGGGCGGAGGCGGCGGCGCGGCCGCUGGGCCGCGGUGGCUCCUCCAGGAAGGCGCCGGCGGGAGCCGAGCCCCGGUGUCCCGUUUUCUUUUUCAGAAGCUUCACCCACGCACCCAAAAGGGGCUGUAAAUAGGGAGUUGAAACUUACGUUUUCUCUGAUGGUGACUCAUCCAUCUGUAACUAGAGCAAAAAUUCCAGAGAUUAACUCAGUGAGAUGUGCAGAAUAAAGGGAAUGCUUCCCAGAAGGAGAAGGACCAACAAGCAAACAGCUAUUUGCUUUGCCCCCACAUCUUCUGUAGCACUUUUAGAGUCAGCCAGCUGCAUAGGUAAAGGAGUGAUUUAUGCCUAUUGUUAUUAGGUUCAUGUUUUCAUACAUUAUUUUGUUUGGUAGGCUUGUUUUUUAACAAUCAAACAUCAGAGACCUCUUCAUUCACAAAAAAUGUUGUUGAAGAUAAAUUUAUUUUUGAGUGAAACCCUUACCCUGCCUAUGUGGGUAAGGGUUUCACCCUUACCUAGCCCUUGUGCUGUCAGGAAUUUGUGCUUUGCAUCAGUCAUUUAUCAGGCCACACCUGUGCAAAAAUUUCCUGAUACCAAUGCAUACAUACUUAUAUUUUGCAAGCUGGUACUUUUAUCUGAGAAGCAUACCACCACAGCAGUGACAUCUUGAGGGAUUUGGAGGUAGAAGGCCAUCAUUACCCCAAGUACCCUUUGUCUUUUUGUGACAAUUCUUUGUAUGUAAAAAUAUUUUUAUGAAAAUGUGGACUUUUAAAAAUUUCAAAUAUGUCGUUCUCUCUCUUUUAAGUAUUCCAGAGAACUACUUAGUAGAUGACCAACAUAUAUUAACGAAAUAAAAAUUGCCAAAUGUUCA
rnacentral:lncRNA from 1 species